rnacentral:rRNA from 1 species
AUUGAACGCUGGCGGCAUGCCUUACACAUGCAAGUCGAACGGCAGCACGGGGCAACCUGGUGGCGAGUGGCGAACGGGUGAGUAAUGCAUCGGAACGUACCUUUCAGUGGGGGAUAACGUAGCGAAAGUUACGCUAAUACCGCAUAUUCUGUGAGCAGGAAAGCAGGGGAUCGCAAGACCUUGCGCUGAUUGAGCGGCCGAUGUCAGAUUAGCUAGUUGGUGAGGUAAAGGCUCACCAAGGCGACGAUCUGUAGCGGGUCUGAGAGGAUGAUCCGCCACGCUGGAACUGAGACACGGUCCAGACUCCUACGGGAGGAAGCAGUGGGGAAUUUUGGACAAUGGGGGCAACCCUGAUCCAGCCAUGCCGCGUGAGUGAAGAAGGCCUUCGGGUUGUAAAGCUCUUUCGGCCGGGAAGAAAUCGCACGGGCUAAUACCCUGUGUGGAUGACGGUACCGGAAUAAGAAGCACCGGCUAACUACGUGCCAGCCACCGCCGUAAUAC